GUGGGGAAUCUUGCGCAAUGGGCGAAAGCCUGACGCAGCCAUGCCGCGUGAAUGAUGAAGGUCUUAGGAUUGUAAAAUUCUUUCACCGGGGACGAUAAUGACGGUACCCGGAGAAGAAGCCCCGGCUAACUUCAUGCCAGCAGCCGCGGUAAUACGAAGGGGGCUAGCGUUGCUCGGAAUUACUGGGCGUAAAGGGCGCGUAUGCGGACAGGUUAGUCAGAGGUGAAAGCCCAGGGCUCAACCUUGGAAUUGCCUUUGAUACUGGCUGUCUUGAGUACGGGAGAGGUGAGUGGAACUCCGAGUGUAGAGGUGAAAUUCGUAGAUAUUCGGAAGAACACCAGCGGCGAAGGCGACUCACUGGCCCGUUACUGACGCUGAGGCGCGAAAGCGUGGGGAGCAAACAGGAUUAGAUACCCUAGUAGUCC
rnacentral:rRNA from 1 species